UAACACCCGCGAAGAAUGCACGGAAGGAAAUAAUUUGGUUUCACAGCUACUUCUAUGUAUGUGUGUGUGGCCGGAUCAGAAGACUACGUUCGCUCAGGAGUCAGGAUUGCAGCAGGAGAAAGAACACAACAACAACUUCUGGAAAAGAAAACUCAACAGAAAGUAAACAACAAAAAUGCACAGAUCCAGUGCAAUCGCAAUCGUCUAAUGUGCUGGCUCUUGUAACCUGGGUUACAUCCUCCCUCACGGAAUAUAUGCACGUCCCUGUGCAUUUACACAUCGAUGAUAGGGGGAACCACAGACUCUUCAAAGGAGCACUCGACUGCCUUACUUAAGCCUUGCAAUAAAGACUGAAACACUGUGACUCUUGUUGCAACCAAGACUCCUGGCUGGCUCGCCAAGUUUUCCCCUGUAACACCCGCGAAGAAUGCACGGAAGGAAAUAAUUUGGUUUCACAGCUACUUCUAUGUAUGUGUGUGUGGCCGGAUCAGAAGACUACGUUCGCUCAGGAGUCAGGAUUGCAGCAGGAGAAAGAACACAACAACAACUUCUGGAAAAGAAAACUCAACAGAAAGUAAACAACAAAAAUGCACAGGUAAAUAACCAGAUGAAAAGGUAUCAGUCCAAAGCAAAUGCUUAGUCCUUUGAAAUAAAUGUCCAACGUGGAAACAAAAAUACUCAGAUCCUUGAGUGAAAAGAGUUUCGAUGCUUAGCAAAAAAAUGUGUCCAAAAAGUAAAAAACAGGUUUACACAAUAUUUCCUACCAGUGUGAUGAACAACUUCCAGAUUCUAUGAAAUGGGAUGGCUCGCCAGUUUCUGCAACCGUGUGUCUCUCUCUCUCUCGAUGGACAG